CCCCAAGUCGCCGAGCUAGGGGGUCUGCUGAAAGAGGUGACAGACAAGGUAAGCAAUCAGAGCUCCGACUGAUUGUUCACCUUCUCCCCAUCUUGCAGCAGCAUGAAGGAUAAAGAGAAGAAAAAUGAGAAGAGAUGAUAUGAGAUAUUUUUGCUUUUGAAGAAGUAACUUUCCACAGGCUUAUUCUUGAACUGAGCUGGAGGGUUUUCUGGUUUCCUCCAGAGUAUAAGGCCGACUGAAGAAUUUGAGGGUCAAAACAAGUCCAUCAAAUCUAGAGUACGUUCCACCCUGCUGAUAUGGGAUACUUUUGCUUU
rnacentral:lncRNA from 1 species